AGACCCCCUUUCCCCCAGUUUUGGGGGGAGAACUGUCGGCUGUCCGCCACUAAUCGCGGUGGACUCUGAUUAAAAGUAGUAGGUUAUGUGGUCAGGCUGGUGGCCUGGGACAUUGUGUGCUAGAGACCCGCGGUUCAGUCCGCAAGUCUUCCUCACAGUGGGUCCUGGGUCCUUUGAAAAGCCGGUCCGAUCACUGCCUCCUCAGCACUAUCCUCUUCGGGGGAUAGUACAACCCCACAA
rnacentral:misc_RNA from 1 species